UACGUAGGGCGCAAGCGUUAUCCGGAAUUAUUGGGCGUUAAAGAGCUCGUAGGCGGUUUGUCGCGUCUGCCGUGAAAGUCCGGGGCUCAACUCCGGAUCUGCGGUGGGUACGGGCAGACUAGAGUGAUGUAGGGGAGACUGGAAUUCCUGGUGUAGCGGUGAAAUGCGCAGAUAUCAGGAGGAACACCGAGUGGCGAAGGCAGGUCUCUGGGCAUUAACUGACGCUGAGGAGCGAAAGCAUGGGGGAGCGAACAGG
rnacentral:rRNA from 1 species